AUGUUUUUGGAAACAGUGAAUCAAAUGUGGAUGGGAAUAACUCUCCCUCACUUGCCUCCCGCACCCAGGCUUGCCUCGCCGUGGGAAUGCCCCAUCCUUGGAGAGGAGUGCCCCUUCUUGAAGGAGAGAGAGAGCAAUUUCUGGGGAGGAACUGGCUGUGAGUUCUCAGCAAGCAACACUCCCAGCAGCUGGGAAGAUGAAGACGAGUGUCUCAGCUCUGAGGUGAAGUCUGGGUGGCAAUCUUUAACAUGAACAAUAUGCAGUUAAGAACAACCUAGCUUGUGCUUGGAUGUACAAGAGCUUCAGGUGAUUUUGUUGUACCUUUUGGUAAGAACCACUGUUCUAGCCCUUCGGGUGACUCAUGGACCCAUGGAUGUUUGUGGGUGUUGUUUACUAUCUAUCAGAGGACAGCAUAUUGAGAGGAGACAGGUAGAUAUAGGUCAAAAUAGUUGAAAGUGGUUAAAAGUUAAAAUGCCAUGAAUAUUGUGUGCAGUUUGGAUAUUUUUUUUUUUUUACCCUACAAAUUAGGAAAUUUCUACAAUUUGACUGUGAGAAAAAUAUUUAAAUGUAACCCUAUAGAUUCCAGAUUUUAAGAAUUAAUCAGUUAAUUUUAUUAGUGGUAUUCCUACAUGUGGUAUAUUUAACAGCAUAUUACAUACAGAAAAAAUACACAGAUCCUAAGUGUACAGCUUGAUAAAUUUUCACUUAGUGAAUGAACCCGUGUAUCCAGCAUGCAGAUCAAGAAUGAGAACUUUACCUUAUCUGAGAAGUGUUCAUGUACCUCCUUGCAGUUUCCCCAGCUGCAGUGAAGAGUAACCUCUCUCCUGACCUCCUGCACCGUAGGUGAGUUUGCUCCCUCUUGAUGUUCAUGUACAUGGAUUAUACAGUGUGUAACUUUCACAAAUUUGUGUUCAACAUUAUGAAUGUGAGUCAAUCAUGUUGUUAUGCACAGUUUUAAUCCAUUCAUUCUCCACAAUAUAUUUUCUGUUCUACUAUAGAUGGACAUUUGAUUGUUUCGAAUUUGGGGAUAUUAUGAUUAGUGAGGCCACGGAC
rnacentral:lncRNA from 1 species